rnacentral:rRNA from 1 species
AGCGAACGCUGGCGGCAGGCUUAACACAUGCAAGUCGAACGCCCCGCAAGGGGAGUGGCAGACGGGUGAGUAACACGUGGGAACGUACCCUUUGGUUCGGAAUAACUUGGGGAAACUCAAGCUAAUACCGGAUAAGCCCUUAUGGGGAAAGGUUUACUGCCGAAGGAUCGGCCCGCGUCUGAUUAGCUAGUUGGUGAGGUAAUGGCUCACCAAGGCGACGAUCAGUAGCUGGUCUGAGGGGAUGAUCAGCCACACUGGGACUGAGACACGGCCCAGACUCCUACGGGAGGCAGCAGUGGGGAAUAUUGGACAAUGGGGGCAACCCUGAUCCAGCCAUGCCGCGUGAGUGAUGAAGGCCUUAGGGUUGUAAAGCUCUUUACCCGGGACGAUAAUGUCUGUACCGGGAGAAUAAGCCCCGGCUAACUUCGUGCCAGCCGCCGCAGUAA